CUACAUCUCGCCGUCGACUCCGCCAACCCUAGCGCCCUCGCCGACUCACUCCCAUCCUUGCCCGCCCCGCUCGGCACCGCCGCCUCCAUUCCCUUCGUCACCCACCCAUCGCCCGACGCCCCUGCAUCCUCCAUCCAUGCCUCCACCCAGCCGUGCCGCCACCCAAUCUCCAUCGACGACCCCCCACACACUCGCACCUCCGACUCACGCCGCUGCCCAUCCCCAUCCACACCACACCCGGAUCCCACUCCCAGAGCCGCCGCCGCGCAUUCCCCAACCAGCAGGCACCCCAUCUUCGUCCAUGCCGCACCAGUAUCCCCCAAUCCAGCGUUGGUGCCCCAUUCGCCGACCAUGACACCGCCCCAUCCCCUCCUUAUCACCCUAAACGUCGUCCCGAUCCCCAACAACAACACCUCCCCAUCCCACUCGCCACCCCCGUCACCUGCUUUGCCUCGCACUACAGCACAGCGUGAUUAAGAUCUAAUUGAUUGUCUGUUCGUGCUACCAGGAUUGUUCUCUGCCACAUGUUCGUUAACUGAAGCAGCAGCAACAACAACAAUCUCAGAUUCGCACAUAGAGGCUGCCACUAAGCUUUGUUCUCCAUUCGUGCUUGGUCUUUACAGGCUAAUCGGCAUAAACUCAACUUUAAAGACAAGUUUUAAGGUCUUGGUUGGCAAGUGAAGAAGGUAUCAAGCUGCAGCCAUCAGUAACUGAACAAGUGCCAACUGCAUCUUUUGGUUGGCAACGUUGCUACAAGGCUGGUCUACUCACCUUGUGAAACCAUUUGCUUCACUCGUUCUGGAGUUUGUUUGUGAAGUUACGCAGAAGCAACCAUCACAGCCGGUAGCAGUCCCCACAUCUAGAAGUUGUGUUUUGUGAGCUGGAAGGAUCUUCUGCUGGGAUCUGUUUGUAGCUGAAACCAGAUGUUGUAUUUUGCGCUUUUCUCUAUUAUGCAAUAUUGGACCUAUUGACCUACAUAUGUAUGCCUCUGUGCGCAUGGGAAUAGUGAAUUACAUGAAGGAUGUUGUGCUGUAAUACUGGGCUUGUGAACCUACAUAUGCUUGUAACCAUGAUGG